rnacentral:lncRNA from 1 species
CCUCAUUCCAUUCCAAUCAGCCUUUAUUGAACAUGUACUAUGUGUUAAGGACACAGAGACUAUAUAUCUCUGCCAAAUCACCCCUGUAAAUAUUUCCUGAGCACCUACGAAGUGUAAGCCCAUGUGUUGUGUUCAUGUAUGGAGAGUAUGAGGAGAAAUAGCUGAGGACAUACAGAAGACAAAGAAAAUGGCACCCUGGAUUAAAAAGUGAACCCAGUGAAAAGUGAGACACUGGGAUACAGGAGAGCAACAAAGGUUAGGGGAAGUCAAGAAAUGACUGAGAUCCUAACUCUCCAUCUAUGCAUUAAGAUCUUUAAUGGAAAUGAAGCCCAUACCAUUUUAACAACCCCCCAGAUUAUACUGCUUCUGCUUUCCUUUGAAUGGUCUUUAAAGACCAUUCUAUCUUUGGAAGCUGAGUUGAAGAGAGCUCAGAGAUUCCAGAAUCCUGUAAUCCCACACCCUAACCAUCACAUCCCUAACUUACGCUAGACUCCAGACUAAUUUUUUAAAAAUAAUUUCAACUCCCCUUCCCUAGUUAUUCUGCUUGCAGCUUGUUGGAACCACCCAUUUUGGCCCCUAAUCAUAUGUAACCAUGGGUCUCCUCAUUAGACCACUGGCUGCUGUGAACAUAGACCCAUUUCUUUCAGGCAUCCACACUCUGCAACAAGGCUUACUGUGUUAACUUGACUUAUGGGAUAAGAGAGGAACUUGGGGCUCCCCUCCUCUCCUGCCAUCCUCAAGGGAUGCAGUGCUGCUUCAUGCUGUCUGCUUUUGUGAAUAUCUGCAGGGCUUUAAAUAGAAUCCUGUGGGAAUAACUCCUUUUAAAGGGAAGUUGAAAGCACUUAACUCAGCCAGAACUCGGUAUGCAUCAAAGGAGGAAAAAAGAAUAUAAAGAAGAAAGGAAAAAAAGGAGUCUGAAAGUUUUCUUCAGAGGCUUCAUCAUUCUAAAACUUAUAGGAGUGCUUUCCUAAAAUUAUGGGAAUAUGAGGACAAGAAAGAAGCCAAGAAGCAAGCAGCAUUCCUCGUUCCCAAGGGGAAACACAAACACCCCGAAGCAGAUCUGUCUAAGGUGGCCAUGCAAUGGUUUCAUGAGGCCCAGAAGUGAAUCCUUUUACAUGUGCCAUCUGUUUCUUGGGGGGACCCUGACUGACCUACCCAUUGAUCUUCAAUGGCACCCAUUUACUUGGCUGCAGCAUGAAAGCACUUUAGAAGGAAGGGAGGGACUCAACCUGGCAGAAGAAGUCAAAAAUGUUCUGAGCCUGGAAAUAGCUCUCUGAGCAGCAAAAUCUUCCAGCAUCCACUUUCUGAAGUGACCCUGAGAGGAGAGGAAGCUCUAGAAAGGAGAGGACAUUUUCUGUCUCUUCCCACACCAGAGAAAUCUUGUAGAAAUCACUUCCCACCCUUCUGUCCACUCCUUCUCUCUCACUUCCACAGAACAAUUUUUACAAGAUGAUUACCCAUAAUAAUUUUCCAGAUGAGGAAACUGAGGCUUAGAAAAAGGUUUCCUGAUCAAGAUUAUACAUGUGCAAAACAGUGAAGCUGGAAUUUGAAGAUGGGACUCAGUAUGUUGCCCAGGCUGGUCUUGAACUACGAGACUGAAGUGAUCCUCCUGCCUUGGCCUCCCAAAGUGCUGGGAUUACAGUCAUAAGCCACCACACCUAGCUACAACCUCUUCAGAACAUUUAUCCGGGAUAGUGAAAUCGAAAGAGGACUCAACUUGUCGUUCUUAUGCCAACGUGCUGAGUGUGGCAUGGUUGAGAGAUGAAAAAGUGGAGGCCUAAAAAGGUCAAGCUACUCAACCCAAGGACACACAGCUCCUGGAAGACUGAGCAAGAUUCUGACCCUAGGGCUGAGGCCUCCAGCCACUGUGAGCUCCCCUGCCCUGAGAAGCACGUCUGCCAUCUCUUCCUGCUCUGGGUGUCACUUAGCUCUGAAAACAUAGGCAUCGGAGUGUAGCAGACUGACUCAGAGUCCUCCCAAGAUGCAGAUUCUACUGAAAUCCAAACCCAAGGGGUCUACAAAAUGGAUAAGAAAACUGAAGCCCAGAAAAUUUAUUUCCUUCACCUGGUCACACACAGAUCUCCUGGUAUAUUCAGAACUAGAACUCAGAUACUUGAUUCCCAUUCAGAAAGAACCUGGUCAGCUGGUUCGGGGUUAAAGAGGACAGAGAACACCAGUGAAAAAACCUCCACUGAGUAAGGGAGCUACCUUGUACUUCUAUUUGGCUGCUCAGAACAUUCAGAUGCUCAUUUUCUGGUUUUAUUGGUUUUGGACAGUUGUACUCAUCAAAUUAAGUGACCUUCAGAAAAGUGAGAGAUUAUAAAUCACAUGGUUAGUUUCUUCCAACCAAAGAUAAUAGAACACUGGCUGAUGAGACUCAGUCCAAAUUCUCUGUUAUAGAAAUGCAUUGCUUGCUUAUGCAGUUGGCUUGGGAUGAGGCCAACUCUGGGUGGGGCCCAGAUUAAAGUAGCAAAGAUACUAUUAUAAAACAAUUUGACAUGGCAAAAACAGUAAACAUUUAAACUAUUACUUACAUGCCAGGUACUGUGGGCAGCACUUUGCUUGCACUAUUUCAUUUAAUUCUUAAAAGCACCCAUUUUAUAGAUGAGAAAAUUGAGGCUUAGAGAGAUUAUGUAAUUUUCCCAGGACAUACAACUUCCAAAUGGGCUGAACUAGGACUCUAAACUGCUUUAUUAUGACAAUAGUACCCAUGACUUUAACCACUACACUCUCCUGUAGAAUAUUUAGAGGUAUGUUGCGAUAGACACCAUUGUUUUAUACACGAUGUUGACACACACUUUUAAUAUAAUUUAAACUUUUCAAACACUGGUCUAUCAGGUAAGUGAAUAAGUGCAUAAUAGAAG